rnacentral:lncRNA from 1 species
AGGUGAUGGUUUAAUUUACGACGUCCUUCUUGGCCUUGAGACGGGUGUCAACCUGGUGUCCGACUUCGUCCUGCUCAACGCGCUCCAAACAUCGACGAGCCCGACCCAGCACUGUCCACCUCAUGCCGAAGUGGUGACGAAGCUCCGCAAUUUCCUGACGCUGAACACUGGAACCAUACUGUUCUGCUGCGUAACCCACAUAGGUGGAUCGUACUUCUUAGC